rnacentral:lncRNA from 1 species
AAUUUACAUGGAUUUGCUGAACAUUCAGAUGUCUAUCUAAAUAGUGUGUGAAGCAAUCCUAAGAGAAUGAUAACUUGGGAAACUGCUCCGCUUGGCUGUCCUACAAUUGCAUUCAGGAUAAGAAUAAGAUUACAGUGAGGGCAGGCAGAUCUCUGAAGCACCAGGUGUGUAUCCUUUCUCCUCAAACUACUUGCCAGAUCAAACACUGCACAGAAUUUCCCCCACCGAUUGAUCUACAUUGGAUUAUUCCUGUCUGAUUUAGGGAUGCAGGAAGAGCUGCUGAUUUGCUCUAUUUGUCUAGUUUUAGGAGGGUUUUAAAAACAAUUAAUUAACUAAAAACAUUUAAGGACAAAUGAGAGAGAGAGAGAGAGAGAGAGACAUUGCACAUACUUUUGUAAACCAAGAAAAUCUUUAGUAAAGAUACAUUAAAAAGAAACAUUUAAAGACCACUUGAUUGUAAUAGAAUCUCUGUAAACAAAACCAGAAAAUUAACAAAAACUGACAGUUAAAAAAAAGUAUUUAAAAUUUGGAAUAUAAUUUAAAUCAGCAGUAAACUAAAAAGAUAUUAAAUAAAACACAUUCCAUUUCUACAUGUCUAGAUAGGCUAGCCUAAGCAAAAACACCUUUAGCAGGUGCCGAAUAUAGUACUUUUUUGUUAUUUUUAUUUUCCAGUGCUUGCCAGUUUUUGUAGGUCAAUGCCAAUAAAGAUUUGAAUAAAAAUAACUAUUUUGAGAAUCAUUUCUGAAAAUGGCCUCUCUUCAUAGUUGUUUUUUUAAAAAACAACAACCAACAAUAACAAAUAGCUUGUGUCUACUUCAGUUUCAUACUUUCCAAAUUUCUCAGUUAAAAGAGGGUUUCCUAUUCAGUAAGACAAUAGUUACUUUAGUAUGAGUGAAUAUAUAUGUAUACGUACACACACACACACACACACACACACACACACACUUUUAUGGGGCCUGGAUACAUUCAUGUCCUGUUAACAUAGCAUGGAAACAUUCCUUUCAUUCAUGUUGCCUUUUGUUUCAUUCAUGUUGCCUUAUCUAGCUAUGAACUCAAGAGAUGGCCCUAGACAAGUUCUGUCUCUCAACCCUAGCACCUUGGAAUGUAUACAAGUUAAUGAUAAGGUUGGGCUUGAUUGUGUCCAUAAAGAAGAUAAUUAUUUAGAGAGACAGAGUCAUCUCAGGCUGAUUUGGAGUUGAUGGUCCAACUUCCUUGGCCUGAGCACAAAUUAUCUAUUCAGUUAACUGUCAGAGAAUUCCUCAUCUGAAAAUUAAGAUUACAGGAUUUCUUUGUAUUACAGCCUUAUUCCUGGCACGAUGAACCAUGAUUGAUCCUGAGAUUGAUCACUGCCAUUGUGUAGUAUGUUUUAACAUGCAGCCUGAAAAAAAAGAGGAGUUCUGAAGCAUGUGGACUACCCCUACUCAUUGGCAGAGUUUGCUUGGAAAUGUUUUGCUUUGCUGAUGGCAGUAAGCCUUGUGACUUCCAGCAACCUGCCUAGCAUAUCAGUUUGUAUAGAAUGCUAAACCAUGCUUACUAAACUAUGGUUUAUUAAACCAUGGUUUAGCUGCAUUAUGUGUCAACCCAGCCCAUAACUAUGGUUUAUUUACUAUGGUUAAAUGUUCUAGCUAGUUUAAAAAUCUUAGCUAAUGUUAACCAUAGCUUAGUGUUACAUGUGAACCUGGAUACCCUCCUUAGCUAUGGUUAAAGUGCCAUCGCCCAAAAGUUGCAAUGUUGUCAAUGAAGUGCUGCAAAAAAUUCAAACUGCUCUCACUGUGCUUUUAAUGAUUCUACAAUGCAUUGAAUCAAGAUUUAACUGAUUAUCUGCCUGAUGCCUCAGUUGUAACCAUGGUUUAUUAAAUAUGGUUAAUGUUAAUAAGGGGUUAGUGUUACGUACAACCAGGCCAAUGACAUGUUCUAAGAUCUGAUCAGUAGCUUCAGUAAGAAUUUAUAAACUAGUUUGUGAAGGUUUUAAUUUCUAAUGGUAAGAAGCCUAAAAGAAAGAUCUCUGGGUUUUUUUUAAAGGUGAGUUUGAAUAGUUUCUUAAAUUCAUUAUAGAUGUUAUCCCAGAAUUCCCCAAUGACCACAUAUGGUAAAAUAACCCCACAUCUGUUUUACAUCUCCAACAAAUCAGUGAUCCUCUUUUAUACAUUUUUGCUAGUUUCAAGGGGGUAUGAUGCCAUCUAUAUAGCAUCUUGGGAUGCGGGUGGCACUGUGGGUUAAACCACAGAGCCUAGGACUUGCCAAUCAGAAGGUCGCGGUUCGAAUCCCUGUGAUGGGGUGAGCUCCCGUUGCUCGGUCUCUGCUCUUGCCAACCUAGCAGUUCGAAAGCACGUCAAAGCGCAAGUAGAUAAAUAGGUACCGCUCUGGUGGGAAGGUAAACAGCGUUUCCGUGUGCUACUCUGGUUCGCCAGAAGCGGCUUAGUCAUGCUGCCCACAUGACCCGGAAGCUGUAUGCCAGCUCCCUCGGCCAAUAAAGGGAGAUGAGCACCGCAACCCCAGAGUCGGUCACAACUGGACCUAAUGGUCAGGGGUCCCUUUACCCUUUACUUUAUAUAGCAUCUUCAUGGUGUUUUCCCUAGAGGAACCACAUUCUAACAUGCAGCACAUUGUGAAGACUGGGCCUGAUUUCUGAGUUCACGUAAUGUGUAUAGAUAUCCAUUCCACUGUACAUUCUAUUACCAUUGCCACUGCCAUUUCUAGAGUGCUGAGAGACUAGAGUGCUCCAGUUUUCUCAGGGUCAACAUUUUGUGUUCUUCACAAUACUAACAAAGCCUUUUGAUUCUUGGCAGUUUUUGUUUUUUUAAUUAGAAUGCCUUUGCUUUAUUUUAAUUCAUGACAUUUGACAAUUUUGUGCAAAACAAGCCAGACAUUUUAACACACAAGGCAUUUGUGAUCAGUUCCUGACAGUACUGAGCAUUCAGUAUUUAAGCAAUCUUUAUUAUUAUCCCUUAACAACACAGUUGUGGCAGUUUGACUCCUCCCACCAAUGUGAACAAAGGCUUGCUAGACAGCUGAUAUCAAUCUAGACUCAAUGUCUGGAGAUCAGUGAUAAGGCAUCACAUGUUUGCAGCUGAGGGGUGGGGUGGGUGGAGUCAGAAAGAGCUUGAAAGGGGAUUUUUAACCCUUUCUGCUUUGUUCCCCCCCACCAAUCUGAAU